rnacentral:rRNA from 1 species
UUCCGUCGGGGGAGCGGCCUGUGCGACAUCAGGUAGUUGGUGAGGUAACGGCUCACCAAGCCUAAGACGUCUAGGGGGUGUGAGAGCAUGGCCCCCACCACUGGGACUGAGAUACUGCCCAGACACCUACGGGUGGCUGCAGUCGAGAAUCUUCGGCAAUGCGCGCAAGCGUGACCGAGCGACGCCGCGUGCGGGAUGAAGGCCUUCGGGUUGUAAACCGCUGUCGGGGGGGAUGAAAUGCAUGGGAGCAAUCUCCUGUGUUUGACAGAGCCCCGGAGGAAGCGCGGGCUAAGUUCGUGCCAGCAGCCGCGGUAAUACGAACUGCGCGAACGUUAUUCGGAUUCACUGGGCUUAAAGGGUGCGUAGGCGGUCUGUUAAGCAGGGUGUGAAAUUUUUCGGCUCAACCGGAAAAGUGCAUUCUGUACUGGCGGACUGGAGUUGGUCAGGGGUGUGUGGAACUGCCAGUGGAGCGGUGAAAUGUGUUGAUAUUGGCAGGAACGCCGGUGGCGAAAGCGACACACUGGGGCCGUACUGACGCUGAGGCACGAAAGCCAGGGGAGCAAACGGGAUUAGAU